CGGACGGGUGGAGUAAUGUCUGGGAAACUGCCUGAUGAAGGGGGAUAACUACUGGAAACGGUAGCUAAUACCGCAUAACGUCGCAAGACCAAAGAGGGGGACCUUAGGGCCUCUUGCCAUCGGAUGUGCCCAGAUGGGAUUAGCUUGUUGGUGGGGUAACGGCUCACCAAGGCGACGAUCCCUAGCUGGUCUGAGAGGAUGACCAGCCACACUGGAACUGAGACACGGUCCAG
rnacentral:rRNA from 1 species